CAGCAGCCGCGGGAAUACGAAGGGUGCAAGCGUUAAUCGGAAUUACUGGGCGUAAAGCGUGCGUAGGCGGUUUGUUAAGUCUGUUGUGAAAUCCCCGGGCUCAACCUGGGAAUGGCAAUGGAUACUGGCAAGCUAGAGUGUGUCAGAGGAUGGUGGAAUUCCCGGUGUAGCGGUGAAAUGCGUAGAGAUCGGGAGGAACAUCAGUGGCGAAGGCGGCCAUCUGGGACAACACUGACGCUGAGGCACGAAAGCGUGGGGAGCAAACAGGAUUAGAGACCCGUGUAGUCCCUGUCUCUUAUAC
rnacentral:rRNA from 1 species